rnacentral:rRNA from 1 species
UACGUAGGGUCCGAGCGUUGUCCGGAAUUAUUGGGCGUAAAGAGCUCGUAGGCGGUUUGUCGCGUCUGCUGUGAAAUCCCGAGGCUCAACCUCGGGCCUGCAGUGGGUACGGGCAGACUGGAGUGCGGUAGGGGGAGAAUGGAAUUCCCGGUGUAGCGGUGAAAUGCGUAGAUAUCGGAAGGAACAUCAGUGGCGAAAGCGGCUUCCUGGACCAGUACCGACGUUCAGGCACGAAAGCGUGGGGAGC